AUUGAACGCUGGCGGCAGGCCUAACACCUGCAAGUCGAACGAGUGGCGGACGGGUGAGUAAUGUCUGGGAUACUGCCCGAUGGAGGUGGAUAACUACUGGAAACGGUAGCUAAUCCCGCAUACCAUCGGAUGUGCCCAGAUGGGAUUAGCUUGUAGGUGUGGUAACGGCGCACCAAGGCGACGAUCCCUAGCUGGGCUGAGAGGAAGACCAGCCACACUGGAACUGAGACACGGGCCAGACUCUUACGGGAGGCAGCAGUGGGGAAUAUUGAACAAUGGGUGAAAGCCUGAUGCAGCCAUGCCGCGUGUAUGAAGAAGGACUUCGGGUUGUAAAGUACUUUCAGCAGGGAGGCGUUACCCGCAGAAGAAGCACCGGCUAACUCCGUGCCAGCAGCCGCGGUAAUAC
rnacentral:rRNA from 1 species